GAUGAACGCUGGCGGCGUGCCUAAUACAUGCAAGUCGAGCGAACAGACGAGGAGCUUGCUCCUCUGACGUUAGCGGCGGACGGGUGAGUAACACGUGGAUAACCUACCUAUAAGACUGGGAUAACUUCGGGAAACCGGAGCUAAUACCGGAUAAUAUAUUGAACCGCAUGGUUCAAUAGUGAAAGACGGUUUUGCUGUCACUUAUAGAUGGAUCCGCGCCGCAUUAGCUAGUUGGUAAGGUAGCGGCUUACCAAGGCAACGAUGCGUAGCCGACCUGAGAGGGUGAUCGGCCACCCUGGAACUGGGACACGGUCCAGACUCCUACGGGAGGCAGCAGUAGGGAAUCUUCCGCAAUGGGCGAAAGCCUGACGGAGCAACGCCGCGUGAGUGAUGAAGGUCUUCGGAUCGUAAAACUCUGUUAUUAGGUAAGAACAAAUGUGUAAGUAACUAUGCACGUCUUGACGGUACCUAAUCAGAAAGCCACGGCUAACUACGUG
rnacentral:rRNA from 1 species